rnacentral:rRNA from 1 species
UCCUACGGGAGGCAGCAGUGGGGAAUAUUGCACAACGGCGAAAGCCUGAUGCAGCGACGCCGCGUGAGGGAUGACGGCCUUCGGGUUGUAAACCUCUUUCAGCAGGGACGAAGCGCAAGUGACGGUACCUGCAGAAGAAGCACCGGCUAACUACGUGCCAGCAGCCGCGGUAAUACGUAGGGUGCAAGCGUUGUCCGGAAUUACUGGGCGUAAAGAGUUCGUAGGCGGUUUGUCGCGUCGUUUGUGAAAACCAGCAGCUCAACUGCUGGCUUGCAGGCGAUACGGGCAGACUUGAGUACUGCAGGGGAGACUGGAAUUCCUGGUGUAGCGGUGAAAUGCGCAGAUAUCAGGAGGAACACCGGUGGCGAAGGCGGGUCUCUGGGCAGUAACUGACGCUGAGGAACGAAAGCGUGGGUAGCGAACAGGAUUAGAUACCCUGGUAGUCCACGCCGUAAACGGG